rnacentral:rRNA from 1 species
GACGAACGCUGGCGGCGUGCUUAACACAUGCAAGUCGAACGGAAAGGCCCUGCUUGCGGGGUACUCGAGUGGCGAACGGGUGAGUAACACGUGGGUGAUCUGCCCUGCACUUCGGGGUAAGCCUUGGAAACUGGGUCUAAUACCGGAGAGGGGCCAUCUUUAGUGUGAUGGUUGGAAAGUUUUUUCGGUGUAGGAUGGGCUCGCGGCCUAUCUGCUUGUUGGUGGGGUAAUGGCCUACCAAGGCGGCGAAGGGUAGCCGGCCUGAGAGGGUGGACGGCCACCAUGGGACUUGGAUACGGCCCAGACUCCUACGGGAGGCAACAGGGGGGAAUAUUGCACAAUGGGCGCAAGCCUGAUGCAGGGAAGCCGCGUGGGGGAUGAACGCCUUCGGGUUGGAAACUCCUUUCGCUAGGGAAGAAGCUUUUUGUGACGGUACCUAGAUAAGAAGCACCGGCUAACUACGUG